GACGAACGCUGGCGGCGCGCCUAACACAUGCAAGUCGAACGAGCGAGAGAGAGCUUGCUUUCUCGAGCGAGUGGCGAACGGGUGAGUAACGCGUGAGGAACCUGCCUCAAAGAGGGGGACAACAGUUGGAAACGACUGCUAAUACCGCAUAAGCCCACGGCUCGGCAUCGAGCAGAGGGAAAAGGAGUAAUCCGCUUUGAGAUGGCCUCGCGUCCGAUUAGCUAGUUGGUGAGGUAACGGCCCACCAAGGCGACGAUCGGUAGCCGGACUGAGAGGUUGAACGGCCACAUUGGGACUGAGACACGGCCCAGACUCCUACGGGAGGCAGCAGUGGGGAAUAUUGCACAAUGGGGGAAACCCUGAUGCAGCGACGCCGCGUGGAGGAAGAAGGUCUUCGGAUUGUAAACUCCUGUUGUUGGGGAAGAUAAUGACGGUACCCAACAAG
rnacentral:rRNA from 1 species